rnacentral:rRNA from 1 species
CCUACGGGUGGCAGCAGUGAGGAAUAUUGGUCAAUGGGCGGGAGCCUGAACCAGCCAAGUCGCGUGAGGGAAGACGGUCCUACGGAUUGUAAACCUCUUUUGCCGGGGAGCAACGGGGUCCUUGCGAGGGCCCAAUGAGAGUACCCGGAGCACAAGCAUCCGCUAACUCCGUGCCAGCAGCCGCGGUAAUACGGAGGAUGCGAGCGUUAUCCGGAUUUCCUGGGUGGACAGGGCGUGUAGGCGGGACUGCAAGUCAGAUGUGAAAAGCACGGGCACAACCUGUGGCCUGCAUUUGAAACUGUAGUUCUGGAGUACUGGAGAGGCAGGUGGAAGGCCUAGGGUAGCGGGGAAAUGCGUAGAUAUAAGGAGGAACACCAGUGGCGAAGGAGGUCUGCUGGACAGCAACUGACGCUGAGGCGCGAAAGCGUGGGGAGCAAACAGGAUUAGAUACCCCUGUAGUC